GACGAACGCUGGCGGCGUGCUUAAUACAUGCAAGUCGAACGGACAGGCGCUGCUUUUGUUGGUUGCUCGUGUGGCGAAGGGGUGUGUAACACGUGAGUAACCUGCCCCUGUCUUUGGGAUAACUUCACGAAACUGGGGCUAUUACCGGAUAGGAUCUCUUGCUGCACGGUGGGGGUUGGAAAGUUUCGGCGGUUGGGGAUGGUAUAGCGGCUUAUCAGCUUGUUGGUGGGGUAGUGACUUACCAAGGCUAUGACGGGUAGCCGGCCUGAGAGGGUUAACGGCGACAUUGGGACUAAGAUACGGCCCAGUCUGCAACGGUAGGCAGCAGUGGGGAGUAUUGCACAAUGGGCGGAAGCCAGAGGCAGCAACGCUGCGUGCGGGAUGACGUCCUACGAGGUGUAAACCGCUUUCGCCGGUAACGAAGCGUUAGUGACGGUAAUGGGUAAAAAAGCACCGGCUAACUACGUG
rnacentral:rRNA from 1 species